AUUGACCUCUGAGCCUGUUGGAUCUGCGAGUCUGCUCGAGCCUGACCACUAAGAACUGGCCAUUUAUUUUUAAUGGAGUCAGUUUGGUGUACCCUUGAAAAAACCUUAGGGACGGAAUGCCACCACAAUGCAUUUGUACAGGAGAUAAGAUACGCAGCAGCAUCCAACAAGUGCUGAAGAGGAGGAUGCAGAAAAUGCUGACGGUGCAGUGCUGGCUUAGGGCUCCUUCAUGUAAUGUGUUC